UACGUAGGUGGCAAGCGUUGUCCGGAUUUACUGGGCGUAAAGGGCGCGUAGGCGGCCUUCUAAGUCGAACGUGAAAUCCCUGGGCUCAACCCAGGAACUGCGUCCGAUACUGGAAGGCUUGAAUCCGGGAGAGGGAUGCGGAAUUCCAGGUGUAGCGGUGAAAUGCGUAGAUAUCUGGAGGAACACCGGUGGCGAAGGCGGCAUCCUGGACCGGUAUUGACGCUGAGGCGCGAAAGCCAGGGGAGCAAACGGG
rnacentral:rRNA from 1 species